AUAACUUUAAGUUAAGUUAAACUAUAAACCUUCAAAGUUUAAAAUGAUAGUUUCAAGUUAUU
rnacentral:tRNA from 1 species